GUGUGUCUAUUAUGAAGGUGGAGGGGAGGUAGAAAGACUCCUUUAGAAAGUGGAGUAGCUUUAGAGUCCCUGUCCAAGAAGCCCAGGGAGUUGGAAACUGUGCCAGAGGGAGCAGGCAAAGACAGCAAGAGUUCACUGGACUUGUCCUUCACCCUGUCUUUUCCAGGGAACUCAGCAGGAUACAGAAGAAAAAAUGCCAAUGGAAUUAACCAACCAGCUCUCUUCUCUGGAGUCCAGGGUGGCUCCAUUGAGAUCCCUUUUUCCUUCUGCUUCUGCUGGGAGUUGGCCAAGUAUCCACAGAUGAGCAUAGCCUGGAGAUGGAAAGACUACCAUGGAAAAUUCAUCUACAACUCCACUCUACCUUUCAUUCAUGAGCACUUCGAGGACAGGCUCAUUCUGAACUAGACAAAGAGUUAGAUAUCUGGACUCCUCAGAAUCCUUAACUUGAGGGAGAAUGACCAGGCCACACACUUCUGUAACAUCUGCCUGAGCACCACAGAAGAUAGGAAGAGAUGGCAGUCGAUUCCUGGGGCCCAACUCUCCAUCGUCCAUGCACUCAGCACCACCAUGAGGAUCCCCUACAUCAUCUCUUCUGCAGUCUUCACAACUGGUCUGGAGGACACAGGAGGUCAGAUGAAUCAUUCACUGCCGAAUCUGGUAGCCAUAGAUGGGAUGAUCAUGGCAAAAUGUUGUGGCCACCUUCCCCAUCUACGGGUGGAUGAUCUUUCUGUUGUGGAAGCAAAGGUAAGUGGUCCAUGACAGGCCUCAUCUGAACUUCCCACUGGGAGUGUUCUCAGCAGUGGGAGAUGGAGAAUGGCAGACUUGUGCAGGGAACAGUAACGAGAACAAAAUAAGUGAAAUGUGCCUGAACUUGACAAGGACUGCAUCUAUGAAGCCUGUUGUCCUUCCUGACCACCUGGAAAUUAGAGGAACAAAUGCAGAUGAACACAGAGCCUGCUCCUAAGGAAUUCAAGGAGGCAUGCAGAAGUCUCAGGGGCUGACUGCACAUCUGGAAUGAGCUGUGGCUCCUAAGGAAUAUCUGAGAGUAGACCAGCAUUUGCAGACAACAUGGUAAGGGCAUUGAUACAUAUAAAAAGUAACACCUCUUUUCGUUGGGCAUGUGUCACUAGAAUGGAAAGUAAUAGACCCAUAAACAGAAAGAAAUCUAUAUGCAGAACCUAUCACUACAACAAGAGAAAGAGUUGGACACUAGAAAUCUAAUCCUCUUGAGCAAAAAUAUGAAACACCUAUUGCAGGGUCUCAGUUGAAGUGAUUGCCCCACGAAGAGGGACAUGAGUAUCCCAUAAACCACAUAAAGAGUUGUCAGAUACUUGGACAGGCAGAGACACUAUGAUUCCUGGGGAUCACUGUGCUGUAAGCCUUACCUUGUGGGUGAGAACUAUGACUGUCCUGUCUCAAAAUCAUGAGAGAACGUCUCCCAAAGGACAAUGUCAAGGUUUUCCUCUACCAUCCACAUGUGUCUGCACAUAUGCAAAUAUACACAAGUGUCUCUUAAAGUAAAUUUUAAGAAACACUGGAGAAAUAUUUUAAAUGUAGUGAUAUUUGCAGAAUGGCAAAUUUUAUACAUGAAGUUCUGACAACACACAUGCACACACACACACAUAGCUAAAAAUACAAUGAAUUUCCUGUUUGAAAUACAAAUGCAUUUCUGUAAAAAUAAAUUAUUUGUCUUCAAACAUUCAUGGUUACUCUAAGAAAUAAAAAUGGGGACACAGAGGGGGACACAAUAAUCUCAGCCGGAGGAUAAUGCAGAGUGGUUCAAGGUUAUCUACAGUUGCAUAGCACCAUGGGUCACUAGGCUCCAAAGACCUUGUACACACAUUACAAGACUCAAGUGUGGACUGAGGUCAUAGUGGAUUUAAAGCCGUGGGACCUAGAAGACUAAACAAUAAGGACCUAUAUGCAUGAAUGGUAGAGGGUUUGCAAAUACCAUUUAACAAUGUUAAAUAUUAAGU
rnacentral:sRNA from 1 species